AAAGGAAUAGACGGGGGCCCGCACAAGCAGCGGAGCAUGUGGUUUAAUUCGAAGCAACGCGAAGAACCUUACCAAGACUUGACAUCCCUUGAGAACUAAGGAAACUUAGUUGGCCCUUCGGGGACAAGGAGACAGGUGGUGCAUGGUUGUCGUCAGCUCGUGUCGUGAGAUGUUGGGUUAAGUCCCGCAACGAGCGCAACCCUUGUGUAUAGUUACCAGUAUUAAGUUAGGGACUCUAUACAGACUGCCGUGGACAACACGGAGGAAGGUGGGGACGACGUCAAAUCAUCAUGCCCCUUAUGUCUUGGGCUACACACGUGCUACAAUGGCCGCAACAGAGGGCAGCGAAGUGGUAACAUGGAGCGAAUCUCACAAAAGCGGUCUCAGUUCGGAUUGUGGGCUGCAACCCGCCCACAUGAAGAUGGAGUUGCUAGUAAUCGCGAAUCAGCAUGUCGCGGUGAAUGCGUUCCCGGGCCUUGUACACACCGCCCGU
rnacentral:rRNA from 1 species